UACGUAGGGUGCAAGCGUUAAUCUGAAUUACUGGGCGUAAAGCGUGCGCAGGCGGCUUUGCAAGACAGAUGUGAAAUCCCCGGGCUUAACCUGGGAACUGCAUUUGUGACUGCAUGGCUGGAGUGUGGCAGAGGGGGAUGGAAUUCCGCGUGUAGCAGUGAAAUGCGUAGAUAUGCGGAGGAACACCGAUGGCGAAGGCAAUCCCCUGGGCCUGCACUGACGCUCAUGCACGAAAGCGUGGGGAGCAAACAGG
rnacentral:rRNA from 1 species